ACGAGAAAAAGACUGAAAGAUCACAGACAAGGAGAGAGUUCUCUAUUUUUGUAUCCUUUUCUUUUCGAGGUGCUGUUCGUUUUUUUUUUUUUUUUUUGCCC
rnacentral:ribozyme from 11 species